GCACCUGGUGGCGAGUGGCGAACGGGUGAGUAAUACAUCGGAACAUGUCCUGUAGUGGGGGAUAGCCCGGCGAAAGCCGGAUUAAUACCGCAUACGAUCUAUGGAUGAAAGCGGGGGACCUUCGGGCCUCGCGCUAUAGGGUUGGCCGAUGGCUGAUUAGCUAGUUGGUGGGGUAAAGGCCUACCAAGGCGACGAUCAGUAGCUGGUCUGAGAGGACGACCAGCCACACUGGGACUGAGACACGGCCCAGACUCCUACGGGAGGCAGCAGUGGGGAAUUUUGGACAAUGGGCGAAAGCCUGAUCCAGCAAUGCCGCGUGUGUGAAGAAGGCCUUCGGGUUGUAAAGCACUUUUGUCCGGAAAGAAAUCCUUGGUUCUAAUAUAGCCGGGGGAUGACGGUACCGGAAGAAUAAGCACCGGCUAACUACGUGCCAGCAGCCGCGGUAAUACGUAGGGUGCGAGCGUUAAUCGGAAUUACUGGGCGUAAAGCGUGCGCAGGCGGUUUGCUAAGACCGAUGUGAAAUCCCCGGGCUCAACCUGGGAACUGCAUUGGUGACUGGCAGGCUAGAGUAUGGCAGAGGGGGGUAGAAUUCCACGUGUAGCAGUGAAAUGCGUAGAGAUGUGGAGGAAUACCGAUGGCGAAGGC
rnacentral:rRNA from 1 species